rnacentral:tRNA from 1 species
GGAGAGGUGUCCGAGUGGCUGAAGGAGCAUGAUUGGAAAUCAUGUGUAGGGCUACAGCUCUACCGAGGGUUCAAAUCCCUCUCUCUCCGCCA